GAGUUUGAUCCUGGCUCAGGAUGAACGCUGGCGGUAUGCUUAACACAUGCAAGUCGAACGAAAGUUUUUAACUUUAGUGGCGAACGGGUGAGUAAUACGUGAGAAUCUGCCCUUAGGAGAAGAAUAACUGCUGGAAACGGUUGCUAAAUCUUCAUAUGUCGAGAGAUGAAAUAGCUUAAGCUGCCUAAGGAUGAGCUCACGCCUGAUUAGCUUGUUGGUGAGGUAAUGGCUCACCAAGGCCACGAUCAGUAGCUGGUUUGAGAGAACGAUCAGCCACACUGGGACUGAGACACGGCCCAGACUCCUCCGGGAGGCAGCAGUGAGGAAUUUUCCGCAAUGGGCGAAAGCCUGACGGAGCAAUACCGCGUGAGGGAUGAAGGAUUUUGGUCUGUAAACCUCUUUUCUCAAGAAAGAAGUUCUGACGGUACUUGAGGAAUAAGCAUCGGCUAACUCCGUGCCAGCAGCCGCGGUAAUACGGGGGAUGCAAGCGUUAUCCGGAAUGAUUGGGCGUAAAGCGCCUGUAGGUUGUUUAUUAAGUCCGUUGUUAAAGCCUAGGGCUUAACCCUAGAAAAGCAAUAGAAACUAGUAGACUAGAGUAUGGCAGGGGUAGAGGGAAUUUCUAGUGUAGCGGUGAAAUGCGUAGAUAUUAGAAAGAACACCGGUGGCGAAAGCGCUCUACUGGACCAUUACUGACACUCAGAGGCGAAAGCUAGGGUAGCAAAAGGGAUUAGAUACCCCUGUAGUCCUAGCCGUAAACGAUGGAUACUAGAUGUUGUGCAUUAUGUACAGUAUCGUAGCUAACGCGUUAAGUAUCCCGCCUGGGGAGUACGCUCGCAAGGGUGAAACUCAAAGGAAUUGACGGGGGCCCGCACAAGCGGUGGAGCAUGUGGUUUAAUU
rnacentral:rRNA from 1 species